CUCCAAAGGGCUAAAAUGAUUUUCUCAAAAUAUUGAAAGAGGAGCUUGCAGAAUCUAGUUCUUCUGCCACUCAAUCUAUUCCUUUUUCCACUACAUCAUGGGACUAUGCUUUGUACUCCCAACCAAGUCUGGAGUGCUUGGCAGUGACGUAUGGCCCUCCACACCAACCGUAGGUUGCACUCUGCCCUCUGCACUUGGCCCUGGGCUACAGUCCUACCCAAGGGAAGUCGUAACAAUUCAUUGCCCUAUUUCCUGCAAGAAGGUCAAGGCUAGGGCUCACGAAGCCAAGCAAAAGAAAUUUUUCUCAAAUGGCCAGAAAGUCACCUUCUUCAGCUUCUUCAGCUCCUUCACCUUCACCCUUUUCUCUUCAGGGAAAGCUGCC
rnacentral:lncRNA from 13 species